UACAGAGGGAGCAAGCGUUGUUCGGAAUUACUGGGCGUAAAGCGUGCGCAGGCGGUGAUGUAAGACAGAUGUGAAAUCCCCGGGCUCAACCUGGGAACUGCAUUUGUGACUGCAUCGCUGGAGUGCGGCAGAGGGGGAUGGAAUUCCGCGUGUAGCAGUGAAAUGCGUAGAUAUGCGGAGGAACACCGAUGGCGAAGGCAAUCCCCUGGGCCUGCACUGACGCUCAUGCACGAAAGCGUGGGGAGCAAACAGG
rnacentral:rRNA from 1 species